rnacentral:misc_RNA from 1 species
GAUGAAGAACGUAGCGAAAUGCGAUAAGUAAUGUGAAUUGCAGAAUUCAGUGAAUCAUCGAAUCUUUGAACGCACAUUGCGCCCGCCAGUAUUCUGGCGGGCAUGCCUGUUCGAGCGUCAUUUCAACCAUCAAGCCCCCGGGCUUGUGUUGGGGACCUGCGGCUGCCGCAGGCCCUGAAAAGCAGUGGCGGGCUCGCUGUCACACCGAGCGUAGUAGAUUUUAUCUCGCUCUGGGCGUGCUGCGGGUUCCGGCCGUUAAACCACCCUUUUAACCCAAGGUUGACCUCGGAUCAGGUAGGAAGACCCGCUGAACUUAAGCAUAUCAAUAGCGGAGGA